rnacentral:lncRNA from 1 species
UUCAUUCUGAACUCCUGUUAAGGAAAACAAACUAAUGGGGUGAGUUGACGCUCAGUGAAGCCAAGAAAACAUGCAAAUACAUAGUUCAAGUAACAAUGACAUUUGUACGAGAAAUAAAACAAGGAAGUUCAAGUAACCCAUAAAUAACAUUAACACACUUAAUAAGGAUACAGGAGCUCUCAGGAGCUAGAUUCCACUCGCUUCGCCAAUGCUCGGUCAAAUAUCUCCACGGGAUGACACUCUGUCAAAACCGGAUAGGUAUUAAAUCCGUAGAACUCCACUCACUCUACAAUUCCUAUUCACCGUUACACCCCCUGUCCCGGCCCUGCACUUCUUUUAUAAAAGGCACUAUUCCACGAGUAUGCCAAGCGAUAUCUCUUAAUAGAUCAAGAUUUUGAUUAUCUCAUGGUUCACCGAGCUUCUCGAUCAAAUCCAUGCUGGCUUGAGUCGCAAGGUCGGCCAAUUGAGAUUUGGGCGUCCCUCGAUUUCCAUUAUAAGUCGAUGAAGUUCACUCCAAUCGACAAAUACAAUUAUAAGCCGAUGAGACUCACUCCAAUCGCAUAUUCAACCACAAUUAUAAAUUCAACUAUGAGCAAUUCAAUUAUAUAAUCAAUUAAAAGAGAACGAGUGCGAUAAAGUACACACUCGACUCGACAAUUGUAAAUCACUUAAUCAACAAGAAACAAUUCACAUAAUUGGCAAUUAUUCAUGCACUUGACACUCACCAAUUCAAAAUAAGUGAGUAAGUGCAAAUAAGAUCUUUAGUAGUCGGCUCUGAGAUUCUCUUCAAGAUCCUUUUGAGCACCUGAAAAAAUAACAAUUAACUAUCACUCACAAAUACUUACAAACCCCUUGCCAAACAAGGAAGAAUAUACACUUGCGUAAUACUAAGACAAUGUCUUAAAAGAGCUUUAAUAUCUCGAAAAUCGAGAUUCAAAAGUGAGGAUUUAAAGUCACAAGCGAAACUUGUAUCCUCCAUGAAAAUGAGUUUAAAACGGAUGAUCGAUAUCGAAAGACAAUGAAAAGUUCUCAAAAACUCAUUUCCCAAGAAAUCAUGAAUUUUCAGCUUUGCGAGAUAAACUUGGUAAAAUCAGAUCUUGAGUUUGGUACUACCAAAAAAUGGAAAAAUUUAUACCGUUGGAAACUAAAUUCAAAAUGCUAAAAGUUUCUAGAAGACACUUUUCCAAGUUUCUAAACAGAAAGCAUUCAUUUUUCAGCUCAAAAUUGCUGAUUCAAGAAAGCAAGACAGAACCAGUCUUGGUUUUCGGCGAUGUUUGGAAAUUCGGUAAAAUUCCCAGAAAAUAAAUUAGUUUCUGAAAUUUAUAACACAAUAAGAAUCCCAAACAAAGUUUCAAACACAACAAAUGGAACAAAAUUUGGAGUUUUGAGCAACAAGAUAUAACAGUUUAAAGUCGGUUGAUUUUCACGACCUGAUCAGUGAAUUUCCAGAUUUGAAGAGCAAUCUCUGGGGCAUCAUUUGGGUAUCGAAAUGGUAUUGAAAUUAUGCCAAAUUUGGUACACUUAAACCUCCAUAUAUGGACUACCUCUCAAUCAAAAUUUAGAUAAAAACUCGUACGGAAGGCAGUUAACAAAAUGAUCAAAGUUGGUGAAAUGUUUCAAAGCUAAUCUGCCAUCCUACUUCUCUUUCUUUUUCAAAAAUUUUGUCCAACGAAAUCAGCCCUAAUUCGCUCCAUUUUUUGAACCGAGAUUCCAAAAACAUUUAAUAAGAAAUUGAUGGUUAAAUGACACUAAAAUUUUUGAAAUAUAAUAUCCCAAAACAGAUUUGACCAUUCGGUCAGCAAGGAAGGGAAAAGUUUCCAAUUUCCAGCUUUGUCGCAUUUUCGAAAUCAAACUAUAUCUAGCUCCAUACAACUCCAAAUUGAGAAUGGUUUAUGGCGUUGGAAACUAGGUUCAAAAUUAUACAAUUUAUUAGAAGACUUUGUUUUGAAAAUCUUUUCACAAGUGGGACAAAAUCGAGCCACAAGAUGCAGCUUCCAGUUUCAUUCGAACACAUAGGCAAAGCAUAAUAGCCGACUUUGCCGAUUCACUACGGAUCACUCAAAAUGAACUAGCAAGGGAUUUUUAUACCGUUGGAAAGUUAUGAAUGUCUAGUUCUGAAUGCCACAAACGCUACUCAAUUUUGAAUUUUGUACAAAGUGUUACGUUCGGACAAAGAAGCACUGUCCGAGUACCCUGCUAUGUGUUUUCCAGAUUUGAAUCUUCACCAAAACUCAAGUUUUGCACAACCAUUCAAUACGAUUUUUGAAAGGCACUAUGUACACACAAUAUACAACAUAUAUCCAUCAAUUUCACAGCCAACCAAGUAUCAAAAUUUCGAAAUAAAAUAGAGCAACAUAGACAGAAUUUUCGGCCAGCUUGCCUUCACAACUUGCCUUCGAUUUCUCUCCACUUUCUAACCGAAAUCAUCUCAUUCAUCACAUAAACAACCAUAAUCAAACAUUAAAGCAUCAAGUCAGCUACCUAAAGGCCUUAUCAAGACAGCUAACCUAUGAUUUAAUGCGAAAUAAAUGGUUUCCCAAAGUCCGCUAGCCUACAACGCGGUUAGGGUUUCAAACCCAUGAAGAUUAACUGCUAAACUUUGGAGAAAUGGAAAGAUUAAAGAGAGGAAGUGAUUACCAUUGGAACCCUAGAUGAAUAUCAGAUUUUUCCACCGAAAAUUCUCCAAGAAAAUCCACAAGAUUGCUCCUUGCUCCUAGCUAGAGUGGUACUCCAAGUUGUGAGUGAUUUGGUGGAGGAUUUGUGAGUGAAAUGGAAGCUAGAAGAUGAAGUUUGUUCCUUCCCUUUUCUUUUCUUGUGUUGGCCG